GCCAACAUAGUGUAGUGGUUUGAGUGUUGGACUACAGCUCUACAGACCAGGGUUCGAUUCCCAGCUCAGCCA
rnacentral:tRNA from 1 species